UCACACAAGUUGUUUCAAUGGAUGCAAAACGAAAUGGAGUUAUCGAUAUGCUUGAGUUCCCAAAACUAAACAGCCUCGUGCUUAUUGGUUUAAGCAAUUUUAAAAGCUUCAGAUUUGAAUCAAACAACGAUAGCAUUAUUUGAACUUUGUUCAACCAGGUUACAUUGCCUAACAUGGAGAAGCUGCGCAUUCUGAGAUUGCAUUAUAUAGUAAAGUUAGUGAACAUGAGGGCAAAGAAUACAAGUAAAUCAUUACAAAAUCUUGAAAUACUUCAUGUAGAAGACUGUGAAUCACUGGAAGUGCUGUUUGACUUUGAAUGUCUAACAAUUCCAUAAGAUCAUGCUGAAGGUGUAUUUGGUCAACUGAGAUCGCUGAGGCUAGAAUCUCUGGACAAAUUAGUGCACAUUAUAGGGACCGUUCCUAAAGGAAUUCGUAUCUUUGAGAAUUUGACAUCAAUUGUUGUUAAAGAAUGUAGUAUCUUAAAAUACCUAUUCUCACCUUCAAUGGCCUAUUCUCUUGUGGCACUGAAAAUUAUAAAGGUUACAGAUUGUGAAUCAAUUAAAGAGAUUUUUGGAAAAGAAGAAGAAGGCACUUUAGAGAUCCAAAUAGUUGAAGCAAUGAAAACCACAAUUGUGUUUCCUAAGUUGGACAGUUUACUACUUUGGAAUCUUUCAAGUAUUCAAAUGUUUUGCUCUCAGAACUGUGAACUUGAGUUCCCUUUAUUGGAGGACUUGACCGUUGAAAAUUGCCCUAUGAUGAGAAAAUUGAGUCCAUGGCCAGUAAGUGCACCAAAGCUUUGAUAUUUCCAAUUUGUUAGUUAAGGCAGGCAGCUUGGAAGAGGAGGAUCAAGUGUGUGACAAAUAAAAAUUACUUGAGAAAUAUAAAGUUCUUUAUUUCCUAGGUAUAAAUCCUGAUGAAAUUAUUUCUUGUCUAUAAAAUAUCUAUUUAAAUUCUACUGAUUAAAUUAUUAAAAACUGUGUAAUAAGUAUUGUUAGUCUUAUUUGAAAUGCUCGCAAUAUACAAUGAGUGGUUUAAUUUCAA